GGAGAGAUGACCGAGUGGCCGAAGGUGCAUGAUUGGAAAUUAUGUGAACGGGUAACCGUUCCGAGGGUUCGAAUCCCUCUCUCUCCGCCA
rnacentral:tRNA from 1 species